rnacentral:rRNA from 1 species
UACGUAGGUGGCAAGCGUUAUCCGGAAUUAUUGGGCGUAAAGCGCGCGCAGGCGGUUUCUUAAGUCUGAUGUGAAAGCCCACGGCUCAACCGUGGAGGGUCAUUGGAAACUGGGGAACUUGAGUGCAGAAGAGAAAAGCGGAAUUCCACGUGUAGCGGUGAAAUGCGUAGAGAUGUGGAGGAACACCAGUGGCGAAGGCGGAUUUUUGGUCUGUAACUGACGCUGAGGCGCGAAAGCGUGGGGAGCAA